rnacentral:rRNA from 1 species
CCUACGGGAGGCAGCAGUGGGGAAUAUUGGGCAAUGGGCGCAAGCCUGACCCAGCAACGCCGCGUGAAGGAAGAAGGCUUUCGGGUUGUAAACUUCUUUUCUGAGGGACGAAGGAAGUGACGGUACCUCAGGAAUAAGCCACGGCUAACUACGUGCCAGCAGCCGCGGUAAUACGUAGGUGGCAAGCGUUAUCCGGAUUUAUUGGGUGUAAAGAGCGCGUAGGCGGGCUUUCAAGUCUGAUGUGAAAACUUUUGGCUCAACCCA